GAAGAGAGGUGCUGUAGCUGAGUGGUUAGAGCACCUGCUGCGCCUGCAGAAGGUCCCAGCUUCAACCCCUGGUGUCUUCA